GUCAUAUGCUUGUCUCAAAGAUUAAGCCAUGCAUGUCUAAGUAUAAGCAAAUAUACCGCGAAACUGCGAAUGGCUCAUUAUAUAAGUUAUCGUUUAUUUGAUAGCACAUUACUACAUGGAUAACUGUGGUAAUUCUAGAGCUAAUACAUGCUAAAAAUCCCGACUUCGGAAGGGAUGUAUUUAUUAGAUUAAAAGCCAACGCCCUUCGGGGCUUCCUGUUGAUUCAUAAUAACUUUUCGAAUCGCAUGGCCUUGCGCCGGCGAUGGUUCAUUCAAAUUUCUUCCCUAUCAACUUUCGAUGCGAAGGUAUUGUCUUCGCAUGGUUGCAACGGGAAUGGAGGUUAGGGCUCGACCCCGGAGAAGAAGCCUGGGAAACGGCUACUACAUCCAAGGAAGGCAGCCGGCGCGCAAAUUACCCAAACCCGACACGGGGAGGUAGUGACAAUAAAUACUGAUACAGGAGCUCUUUUGUGUCUUGACAUCGGAAUGAGAAGCUU
rnacentral:rRNA from 1 species